rnacentral:lncRNA from 1 species
GGCCGGGGCAGCUCCCACUCCUCUCUCCUGGGCAGGAUUUGCUCUCCCGCCUCUAUGGGAACAUCGAUUUCUGGCUCGGGCUGCGCAGACGGGGCGAGCGCCUGCACUGGGGGGACGGCAGCAGCUACAGCUCCUGCUCCAGCUGCAGCCCACAAACCUGGCAGUUGUUCAGGAGCCUUUGCCAUGGCACGGCCCCACCCAGCUGAUUCCCAGCCUGGCAGCACAGUGGGCACACAUUCCCAGCCCUGGCCGUUGUUUCCAUCCUGCUGCAAGGAGCCCAGUUGUUCCCGAGUGUUCCUGCAGGAAUCCAGGCCCAGGUGUCUGUGGGGUUUGCAGGGGCUCUCUUUGGGGUACCUGGGGGUGUCUGUGGCAUUGGGGAGGGGGGCCUGAGCUCUGGGGGUGUCUCUGGGACUCCUGCUCUUUCCCCUCAUAUUUCCGUCCUUUUUCGUCUCAUGUUUUGCACCCUUUUCUCCACACCUUUCUAGAGCUUUCCUGCUUCCUAAAUGCCACAUUUUCACCCUUAUGCUAUCUCCAUUUUUUUCACUCUUCCCC